rnacentral:RNase_P_RNA from 1 species
GGCAGAGAGAGCCCGGCCACCGCGGCGUACCGACAGGCACACACGUGCCAGCGGGUACGCACGCGAGGAAAGUCCCCCCACCGCCGGGCAGGUGACCGGGGAAACCCCGGGACGGGAGACCGUCGGCGCUGGAACAGCAACGAGACCCCUCCACCCGACCGAUGAGGCGCGGGCGGUGGCAUCGCCACCGUCUCGGCGCGAGCGGCACGGGGUGCAUCGUGCGCCCCGAAGCGAGCGGGCACCGCCCGCGACGCAGCCGCGAGCGUGCGAACCCGACGCAAAACGGCCACUGGUCGGACAAAGCAACGGGGAGCUAACCCGCCGAGGGAUGAGGGUGGAGAACGGAUGGAACGGCGAAUCCUCACCGGUGCAAGUCCACGCCACGCGGAUCGGCCGCACGGUAGCCCGGCAGGGACGUGGACGCUCAGCCGAAUGCCGGGGCGAACAGAAGGGGGCUUACUCCUCUCAGCCAUGUU